CCUUUUAGCUGGUAUUUUGACACAUUUUCAGCAGUCUUUGAUAUUUUUGUACUAAACGCUCUUUAAUAUUUUGAAAGAGACAGUAUUUGUAUUUUUACAUUUUGUUUCUUAUUGAGUGAUUAGCAAAAGUGUUGCAUCUCUUAACCAUAAGUAGAGACGGGUAUCCACACUUUUUUUGGCUCGGCAGCUACUGUUCAACUGACCAGGUUAAAGUGAUCUGCCUUCAUUGAAAACAUUAAAAAUAUAUAAACUUGUAUAAAGUGAACACAUUUUAUACAUAGUCCACCAAUUUUAUAGGCUUUCAAUUUUAUUAUAUAUUAAUUUAUUUUAUGUUAAUCGCUCAUGAUUCACAAGCAGUCCCUUUGUGAUGUACUUGUAGAAAGCAUUUGUCUGGGUUCACAUCCUCUUCUCAGUUGUCUUUAAAAACAACUACUACUACGUGUCAUUCCACAGCCACCUACUGCCACUGUAGUUUUUUAUUCCCUAACUUGAAGUCCUCCUCUCUUCUUCUUCCUCUCUUUUUCCUCUCCUUUCUUUCCUCAUCCUUCCUGGAAAGCCUCAAUGUAAAACGAGGAUGCAGCGAGGAGGCUAGACCUCCCGUCCUCGAUGGGAAAAGAGGGAGAGACCAUCAGCUUGCAGACGCAGGGAUGCGACAAAGGUAUAGAUUGGAAUGUGGUCAUAUAGGCACUGCUCAGUCCAUACUCCCUUCCCGUCCCUCCCACCAGCCUGCCUCGCAUCCUAUCAGCAGCCCCCGUCUCCCUCCCCCCCUUCCCUGUGCCAGGGUGGUAUGACCUGCCGGAUUACAAAACAGCCCUCCCAUGUGUCUGCCUGUUCUCUGUGCCAGCUGAGAGACAGCACUACCAAGCUCCUGGAGUGCUGCUGAGGGUGACGGCAAGGAGGAUGAGGAGGAGGAGGAGGAGGAGGAGAGAGAGAGAGAGAGAAGAAAGAUGGGUUGAAAGUAAAAGAGAAGGCAGAGGUUGUUAAGAUGAUGUUACAAGCUAAUGUAAAAAGACAGAGGUAAAAGAGGGAAAAGGUUGAGAGACAGAAGUGUUAGUUUAGAAAAGCAGUGAGUUUGGAGACAGUGAGAGAGUUUUUUGAGUGACAGUGACCGUACUGUAGAUGAAGGCUAGAGAGGAGCGAGAGGCUGAGAAGCACCAGCACUGUCAGAGCAUGUUUAAACCUCAGGGACAGCUGGGGGUGUGGCAUCAGAGCAGCAGCUCGGAGGUACGGCCCUGGUUCACUCCCACCCCCCUCCUGUUCACUGGGCCUAGCUCUAACUGUGUAGAUUAAAAACACUGAAAUCCUGCGCUGCGAAGUUUUUGGCUAAGCACAAGUAGAUUGUGAUGAAUGGAACGAAGAUAAAACCAACAUCAGUCACGCUUCUCCUCCUCCUCCUUCUCCUCCUCCUCCUCUUCCUUACCUGUGAGGUCUUACGUUACUCUGCAGCUACAAAGACAGAACAGUUUAAACCCUGGAAAAGAUCAAGUGAAUCGUUUGUGUUGUUGAUUGUUAUUGAGGACCCGUGGCAGUGAAGGCUUUACCGUCCUAGGAAGAAGUUCAAUGAUUACGUCUGGGAGUGUGUGACCGGCAUCACAGAUUAUGGAACAUCACUGAAGGGGUUCGGAGGAGACGUGAGAGUAGCUGGAGUAACUGCCCUCCAGUAUGUUUCUGCCACGGCUUUUGUUCAGCACAUAAUGUUUUUCAUCUGAGCGACUGGUAAAACCUGAGGCCGUACACCUUAAUUUAUUUAAGUCAGAGGAAAGUGAACAGGUGAGUGACGCAGGGCAAAUCUCAAGUAUGCACCAGACAAAGGGCGCCUUUUAAAUCCAGUCUCGUCUGCUGUGUUCUUAUGAGACAUGCUAUUUUUUCCCAUUCAGAUAACUAUGGUCAAUUUUCUAUUUGAGGUACAUGAUCGUGUGAGUUAUUGAGAGAUAGGAAUUGUAUUUAUGGAGGUUAGAAGCCCUACAGUCCAUUUGGUAAAAGAAGAUAAACUAUAUUAAAAUGUCAUAGACUGUACAUGAAAACUAGACUGAAAACGUGUUAUUCCCCUGAAUCAAUAUGUUUUCCUGCAGACUUCUAAACAGACGUCCUCCAUGUCAGUGGCACCGUGUGUGCACAUUAGAAGCAUUGUAAAACUAUUAUCCAAUAUUAUUGCCGUGUAUAUUACCUUGACCUAAAACAAGAAAUUAAAACAUAAGUAGCCAUUUUUUUACCAACAGUGUUAUUACAACUCUAGUCCACUUUUACUUUACUCUGAAGUAAAGCCUAUUGUUUCAAAAGACAACGUUGUCACUACCUUUACAUUCGAAUGACAAAUCUUUUGACUUCCUGCGUUUUAUUUUACAUUUCUUAGAUUCAUUUCUUAAAUCCAAGUCCCAUAUAGACACCAUUAAAAGCUAAUCAAGUUCAUCCGGGCACAACCGUUGAACUGAAGCACUGAUUGCACUGUACAGCACUGUUCUCUCUGCGUGUGUGUGUGUGUGAAGGUGGGGAGGGUCAGCUGGUGUUGUGAAUCAGGCCGAUGAAGUGUCAGACACGGCUUCUUCACAACACCAGGGUUCCUCCUUACCGCUUGCUUCUGGGACACACGGGCUUCUUCAUUUUUACUGGCGCACUGAGGCAGAAGAUUAACAUAUUAAUAUGUUAGAUAAUUUUCAUUAAGUUGACUUAAAAUUUGAUUUAAAAAUCCUUGUUGCCAAAUGUAAAACCAUGUGGAACAAUGACCUCCGUCAAAUGGAUGGUAAAGACAGGACUUUUGCCUGAAUAGGAGUUUGUCUGGGCUGCAGACAAAGGCUGGUCACAGUCCAGGAACGGCAGCAGCACAUUUUUCCAUAUACAGAGUCUGUAUUGAUUUUUCAAUUUUAGCUCUGAAAUGAGACAGACGUAGUGUUCGACUGGCAAAUAAAUGUCUCAUGACUGAAGUAAGAAUACGUGUGUGUUUGUCAUUAUUCUAACUCAACAUCAGAAUGGCUUACCAGAAAAAAAAUCAAUCUCUAAAUGCAUUAUGUAUGGUUAAUGUGUGGACAUUUCAAAAAUAACAAAAGGCAAAAAACUCAACCUGAACACCUUCUCCUUGACACGCAUCGAUGACGAGAUCACAAACAGAUAGAACACCAUUCGAAGGUUGAAAUAUAGCUCUAAACGUAGCUCUAAAUGUAGUGUCUAAACUCAUAUUUUUUGCAUGUGCGUACAGUACAGUUUAGUACUACAUAAUGUACAGUCCUACAUUUUGUGUAAAUAAUUCUGGGACACGAGAAUGAAAUGUGAAGUGCAAUCACUAAAAUUACAUUGACACAGAAAAGCUCAUAUAUUAAAAAUGUACAUCCAUAAUUGCAUUAUGACGAUUUUAUUUUGUGACAUGCUCAUUAGCACAGUACAGUGUGGGAAACUAUAAAACUAUAGUUAGAGUUAGACAUUGCUGUCCCUGGAGUUUUACAGUUGUCAGAUCAAGAACUGCACAGUAUCACACACUCGUCUUCUUAAUCUUGGAAACUU